rnacentral:hammerhead_ribozyme from 1 species
AUCCAGCCGACGAGUUCUGAAUAGGACGAAACGCGCGUCCUCCAU